GAUGAACGCUGGCGGCGUGCCUAAUACAUGCAAGUCGAGCGAACAGACGAGGAGCUUGCUCCUUCGACGUUAGCGGCGGACGGGUGAGUAACACGUAGGUAACCUACCUAUAAGACUGGGAUAACUUCGGGAAACCGGAGCUAAUACCGGAUAAUAUUUCGAACCGCAUGGUUCGAUAGUGAAAGAUGGCUUUGCUAUCACUUAUAGAUGGACCUGCGCCGUAUUAGCUAGUUGGUAAGGUAACGGCUCACCAAGGCAACGAUACGUAGCCGACCUGAGAGGGUGAUCGGCCACACUGGAACUGAGACACGGUCCAGACUCCCACGGGAGGCAGCAGUAGGGAAUCUUCCGCAAUGGGCGAAAGCCUGACGGAGCAACGCCGCGUGAGUGAUGAAGGUCUUCGGAUCGUAAAACUCUGUUAUUAGGGAAGAACAAACGUGUAAGUAACUGUGCACGUCUUGACGGUACCUAAUCAGAAAGCCACGGCUAACUACGUG
rnacentral:rRNA from 1 species